rnacentral:rRNA from 1 species
AUUGAACGCUGGCGGCAGGCCUAACACACGCAAGUCGAACGAGUGGCGUACGGGUGAGUAAUGUCUGGGAAACUGCCCGAUGGAGGGGGAUAACUACUGGAAACGGUAGCUAAUACCGCAUACCAUCGGAUGUGCCCAGAUGGGAUUGGCUAGAAGGUGUGGUAAUGGCACACCUAGGCGACGAUCCCUAGCUGGUCUGAAAGGAUGACGGGCCAGACUGGAACGCAGACACGGUACCGACUCCAGCAGGAGGCAGCAGUGGGGAAUAUUGCACAAUGGGCGCAAGCCUGAUGCAGCCAUGCGGCGUGUAUGAAGAAGGCCUUCGGGUUGUACAGUACUUUAAGCGAGGAGGCGUUACUCGCAGAAGAAGCGCCGGCUAACUCCGUGCCAGCAGCCGCGGUAGUUC